rnacentral:rRNA from 1 species
CCGGAUUUAUUGGGCGUAAAGCGAGCGCAGGCGGUUUCUUAAGUCUGAUGUGAAAGCCCCCGGCUCAACCGGGGAGGGUCAUUGGAAACUGGGAGACUUGAGUGCAGAAGAGGAGAGUGGAAUUCCAUGUGUAGCGGUGAAAUGCGUAGAUAUAUGGAGGAACACCAGUGGCGAAGGCGGCUCUCUGGUCUGUAACUGACGCUGAGGCUCGAAAGCGUGGGGAGCAAACAGGAUUAGAUACCCUGGUAGUCAAGGGCG